UCCGUAGGCGGGCAAUUAAGUCAGAGGUGAAAUCCCACAGCUCAACUGUGGAACUGCCUUUGAUACUGGUUGUCUUGAGUUACAGUGAAGUAGAUAGAAUAUGUAGUGUAGCGGUGAAAUGCAUAAAUAUUACAUAGAAUACCGAUUGCGAAGGCAGUCUACUAACUGUAUACUGACGCUAAUGGACGAAAGCGUGGGGAGCGAACAGGAUUAGAUACCCUGGUAGUCC
rnacentral:rRNA from 1 species